rnacentral:rRNA from 1 species
GACGGAGGAGGCUAGCGUUGUUCGGAAUUACUGGGCGUAAAGCGCGCGCGGGCGGCCGGCCAAGUCAGGGGUGAAAGCCCGGGGCCCAACCUCGGAACUGCCUUUGAGACUGGCUGGCUGGAGACCGGGAGAGGAGAGUGGAAUUCCCAGUGUAGAGGUGAAAUUCGUAGAUAUUGGGAAGAACACCAGUGGCGAAGGCGGCUCUCUGGCCCGGUACUGACGCUGAGGCGCGAAAGCGUGGGGAG